rnacentral:lncRNA from 1 species
CUGUAACUGUUCCAUGUCCCGCCUAGUCUUAAGAUGCAUCAAUAUAAGAUAAUCACAUGUAUAUUGUCAACCGGCUGUUGACAUUCAUAGAUUUUCUUGUUUAAUAUAAAUUGAGUUAAGAGCAUAAUUUUCAGAUUGUGUAAUCAAAGCAAUUCAUCUUGAUACUGUUGAUUAGAGAUAAAAUGACUAUGAUAAAUAGAUAAACCAUUGCUAAUGAGAACAAAAACUUCAUGUGUUGAUUUGAAAUAUUAUAUAAAUAAGUACUUGUAUGCAUCAAAUUAAUAAAUUAUGAUUAAUUCCCCUUCAAAGUUGGUUCUGAGUCAGGAAUCACACAUUAUCUAUCUAAUAAUUUUAUGUGCGGUAUUCGAUUAAUGAAUAUAUCAUGAUGCAUAAAGAUGGAUCCUCAAAGAAUAUGUAGGAUGCAUGUUAGUUUUCCUGACAUAAGGAGGAGAUUAUAAACAGCUAUGGAGUAUGUUAGGAAUUAUUAUUAGAUCCCCAUUCAAAAGAUAAUUCAAUUCAAAUACCGAAAGUAUCUCAUAUUAAACUGAAAGUGCUCCUAUUUUGUGUCCCUAAAGGACAAAGUAUGCAUGCGUGAAGCGUGGUAGAUCAAUCGAUUCUAAAUGCAAUAAUCCUUGAAAAGGAUAAGGAGCAAAUGAUCAUAAUAAGAAGGCAAUGUGCUCUUGAAGAACCUACGACAUAACACUUCAUGAAACCUUAUAGGAGGUUCAGGUACCUGAAAAUAAUGAAGUGAUGAAAUCUCAAAAUGUUAUGUCAUACUGUGAACUGAUAUGAAAUGAAAUAUCAUUAAUAUCUUUGAUACAAUAUUGGCGCAAUAUUGUAAAAGAUUAUGAGGACCUGAAUUCUAUGUUUAUUUAAGUAUGUUGACGUAAAGAUAUUUAUCAAGUGACAUGAAAGGAUGCAUCUUGAUAAGCAUAACACUUAUUUGAUUUGUAGCCCAGACACUUGAAGAUGUCACACAUGAAAUAUUGAAUAUUGUCACUUGACAAAAUUUAUAUGAAAACUUUUUUAAGGAUUCAAAAUGUUUGAAGCAUAUAAAAGUUUCUGGAAAACUUAUUUAUAAUCGUUAUAUUGUAUAAGCUUAUAACUUGUAAAUUAUUGGAACUCUUGGAGAAUUUUCAAAAGCAAUAGAUUAUUUGUUGGAAUGAGAAAUAUAUCGAAUUGGAUUGGUAAUAUAUCUUAGUGCAAUUGGUGUGCUAAUAUAUCUUGUAACUACUACAAGGUUCGAUAUAACCUUUCGAUCAAUUUGUUAGUAAGGUAUAGUUCUGCUCCUACUAUGAGACAUUAGAAUAAGAUUAAACAUAUGAGUUUAUUUAAUUUUAAAGACUGUAGUCCCGAUCAUGUUGGUUAUGUUGAUGCUGGGUACUCAUCCGAUCCAUAGGUACCCAUACAAUAAAUCUGAUCUAACCACCACUCUUUAGAACUUAUAGGAGGUACUUUUUUAUCACACAAGAUUUCGAAAAUGAGCUUUCAUUUCAUCCACCCUACCCGAAUCCAAGAGUGACAUCCUCAUUAAACUCACUAUUCUCCUGAAUCAUAGGUCCUAAAUACUUGAAAUUGUUUCUCUUAUUGAUAAAAUGAGUAUCAAGUUUAACAAUCACAUCGGACUCAUGAGAUACCUCACUGAACUUACGCUCCAAAUAUUCCGUCUUGGACCUACUCAACCUAAACCCUUUAGACUCAAGGGUCUGCCUCCAAACCUCCAAUUUAGCAUUAACUCCACUACGUGUCUCAUCAAUUAAUACCACAUCAUACGCAAAAAUCAAAUAGUAAUGCACCUCACUUUAAAUUUGUCGCAUCAAAACAUACAUCACUAAGGCAAAAAGAAACAGACUAAGCGUCGAUCCUUAGUGUAACCCUAUCAAGACGGAAAAGUGCUUAGUCCCCUCCUCCAAUCCUAACUCAAAUCUUGGCGCCGUCGUACAUAUCCUUAAUUGCCUUAAUAUACACCGUACACUUCUCUCCUCCAAACACUUCCAAAGAACCUCUCUCUGGGAACUCUAUCAUAGGUCUUCUCUAAGUCGAUAAACACCAUAUGCAAAUCCUUCUUCCUAACCCUAUACUGCUCUAUCAGUCUCCUAACGAGAUGAAUGGCUUCAGUAGUCGAGCACCCUAGCGUAAAUACAAACUAAUUUUCAGAAAUAGUAACAAUCCUUUGCAACCUCAACUCUACCACCCUCUCCCAACCCUUCAUAGUGUGGCUCAACAACUUUAUACCACUAUAAUUGUUGAAUAUCACCCUUAUUCUUAUACAAUAGAAUCAUCAUAAUUAAACCUUUUAAAUGGACCGGGUUAGCCCGUUCCAGCCAAUUUAGCUCGGCCUAACCGAUGGGCCUGCCCAAUCAGCCCACAGGCUGUAGGGCCGCCAGUCCUAGGCCUGGGCCUGGGCCGGCCAAGUGGAUAAAGACAAAUUGCUACGCUUAUUUUUAAGUUGUAUGAUGAAACAUAUUUCUCUAAUAAGAACUCAGAGACAGAAAACUGUAUUGUGGAAAUUUUUUUAGUAUGAGCUUGAUCAUUUGUCCCAUUUCUAAAGAUUACGGGUGGGUGUGCUCUAAUUUCAAAAAUUUUAGUUUUUAUGGUUAAACGCCCAUUAAUACUUAUAGCAUAAAAUAUUAUUGAUAUUCUUUUGAUUAUUGAAUAACUUUUUGGAAUUUGAUUGCUACCAUUAAUUUAUUAGAGAAAAAAUGGGUAAUAAUUCAUACAUACAUAUAACAUAAUAUAAAGCUCAAUUUAAUUUUUGAGACUUCAUACUUGUGUUUCUUUGACUCUCAAAUACUUUUAUAUGAUUUAGUAGGCAUUUGACUAAGAACUUUUUUUUAACAUUUUUUUCGAAAAUCAUUUCUUUUUGGUGAAAAUAGUAGUUUUUUAUCAUAAAAAUUAUUUUAAUUUACUGAAAAUUAUUUUUGAAAACUUUUUUCAUUCUUAUUUCUCGAGCAAAAUUUUAAAAACAACUCUAAUUUAUGUUUGUGACCAAACACAACAUCAAUUCUAACUUUAAUUCCAACUCCAACUUCAACUCUAAAAAUGAUUAUUUUCAUGGUCAAACGGGCAUUAAUCUUUUAAAAGUCUUCACAAAUAUAACAAGUUACUUUUUUAAUAAAAAUGACGCAACAAAAAUAAAUAACACAAAUGUUGAAUAAAAGUUUUAAAAUAAAGAACAAAUUAAAUUUUAAACGUAGAUUUGGGCCCGGGGUAAAUAGCACCCAUAGAUAGGUAAUAAAAGGAAGGGAUAUAUACCAAAACAGCUAACUUUAGACGCCAAAAAACAAAUUCUUCGUGGAAUCUCUUGUUUCAGCCCCUCCACAGUAAAAAAAACCUUUCUCCAGAAACCCAAAUUUCUUUGAAACCCUAGAAGCAACAGCUACUGGGGCCUACAUUUCCCUUCUGGAGUACAAUAACAUUGAAGGAAUGAUUCUUUUCUCUGAGCUCUCUCGUCGUCGUAUUCGGAGUAUUAGUAGUCUUAUCAAAGUUGGACGCGUCGAACCUGUUAUGGUUCUUAGGGUUUACAAGGAGAAAGGAUAUAUCGAUCUCAGUAAACGUAGGGCUUCUGAAGAAGAUAUUUCGGCUUGUGAGGAGAGGUAUAAUAAGAGUAUGCUUGUUCAUUCUAUCAUGCGUCGUGUUGCUGAAACCAUGGGAAUUGAUCUGGAGGUCAGCUAAUUUCUCAUACCCCAUUUUAUUUUUACUUUGGUGAUAAAGAGAGUUACUUUGAGUUUAACAUAUUAUUUGAAGCUUUUUGUAUAAUUUGUGAUAAAGGAUAGAAAAUGAAUGCAAUGUAUGAGAAGUUAUUGCAAUGUUUGUGAAUGGGAAAGGUGUCAUGUGUAUUUUGAAACUAAGGGAGCAAAGGAUUUGAUUGAAUUUGGAAUUUCAAUUGAACAUGAGGUCUACGGAUAGUAGAAAUUAUUGAAGUGCAAAGCAAAUGGGCUGACUUAGUUAUACAAAAGCAAAUGGGCUGACUUAGUUACUAUGAAAAUAUUGUGACGCAACCUACUGUUAUUCAAAUUCACGACUUGUUCAUAUCAGUUUUAAAGAGUUGAAUCACCGAUGAUCGUAACAAUCUUUUAAGGAAUCAACUAACCUCGAAACAAGUAGAGUAACUUUCAACUAACCAUGAAACAAAAUUAGUCAUAAGAAAUCUAACGCAUAACCACCUACUCAUCAAAAUAGUCUUAAAAAAUCCUAAGUUUCUACAAUACACAAUCCUACCAUUACGCUACUUGCACGAAGAAGAAGAAAUAAUGAGAAAAUUUAAAAGAGAAUGAUGUGUUUACCUUUUUUUGAGCAACGAAUAGGGAUUACGAGCCUGUCACGAUGGAUUUUCACCACCAAAAACUCGACUUGGACUUACCGGCAUUGAAUCGUUCUUGCAGAAACUUAGACGAUUUCAACGAAUUUAGGCGAAUUUCACCAUGAACCUCUUGGUUACGUGAGAUUAGAGGAGCGAUCCUCCAAAAUCCCCAUUUUAUCCCCAAAAAGCCCUCUUCACCUUUAU